GAACGGGCAGCCCCCAGCCUGAGACAAAGCCCCCGGGAGCCGCGAGGCGGCUGCCAAGGGAGGAGUCAAAGCUCGCUGCCGGGUCUUGUGUCCCCAAGCACCCAGAAAAUAACGUGAGGCAUCGCCUGGGGUGAAGGGGGAGUGGGCUCACCACAGCAGGCGCUUUGAAACAGAAAUUGCUGCCAGAAACCGUUGCAGUUUCUGGAUCUUCAAGAUCAGCCAUGCUGUUGUGACAAGGACCACUUAAAAUGGAAAACAGUGAAAAAAAUAUGCAGCAAAGCAGUCAAACAGCAUUUCUGGCCUUGCAGGAUGAAAUCAGAUUUCCUAUGCUCAUCGUCCCUUUGCAGAUGGAAUGGAGAGAAGGUGCCACGAGGGACUCCGAGAUGCUGUGCCAUCGCUGUUUACCAUUACAAAUACAAACGACUUUGCUUUCUUUUCUCUUGCAGCUGAGAAACAGUGCUGUUUUGUUGGCCUGUUAUAACCUGAACAAGUUUGCUAAGUCUGCAAGGCCAAGAAGGGAGUCCCAGACAUUUGUCCUUUUGACCGCUUGAGGUUCAAUUAACAGUGCCUUCUCCUGGAUACACCCACCUCAGGUGCUGUUUUCAUGCUGCAUGCUGUAACAUGGGUGCAGUGCACAAACCACUGUCUGGGAACUCAGGGCUUACUAGUGAACUUCCAGUAUUUCACCAUUUUCACAA